UACCCCGGAGGACUCGCUCCGCCCCCGUCGGCGGCGCUCCUCCUCCGGCGAACGGCCGGCCCCGCGCGCCAGAUCCUCCUCCGCCACCGCCCGCUCGUCCCCGCCGCCGCGUCCUCCACCCGGCCCUUCUCCCUCUUCUACUCCCGCGGCGACGGCUCCCGGUUAGUGUACCCUUGGUUCUCCCUUUUUCUGGUCGGGAUGGCGUGGGAGGGGGAAAUGACGGUGGGUGGCGCUGCAGCCCGCCGGUGAACUUGGGGGG
rnacentral:lncRNA from 1 species